CUUGGUCAUUUAGAGGAAGUAAAAGUCGUAACAAGGUAACCGUAGGUGAACCUGCGGUUGGAUCAUUAAUGAAGGCUUUAAGCCAACAGCUUCAAGCUGUACCCACCUUGUGUGAACCGUUUCUGUUUUUGGCGGGUGGAGACUAGGGGAAGGUGCCUAACGGCGACUCCUUUUUAGUCUUAAGCCCCAUCUGUGUGCCUCUCCUUUAGUUUAGUUAGCUAGCAAAAACGUUUUGUGAGUCUAGUCUCGAAAGGGACUUUUUUUGCUUGACGAUCUUGUUAGCGCGUGCUAGGGAAUGGGCCAGAUGGUAAGGCACCCCGCCGACCACUAUUCCCCCUGCAAAGGGUUGGGAUGGUGUGUUAUAACAAACCUUUUAAGCCUUUAAACAUUGUAUCUGAAACAUUUUAAACAUUCAAUUUCGAAUGAAAAACAACUUUUGACAACGGAUCUCUAGGUUCUCGCAACGAUGAAGAACGCAGCGAAAUGCGAUAAGUAAUGUGAAUUGCAGAAUUCCGUGAAUCAUCGAAUCUUUGAACGCAUAUUGCGCUUUUCGGUAACCCGGAAAGCAUGCCUGUUUGAGUAUCGGUAAAAUUCUCACAACCUCUUUGGUUUUUGGAACAAACCGUUAAAAAAGUUAGUUCCUUUUGCUAGAGGGGCUAGUGGAUGUGAGCUAUCUGGGUAGACGCUUGCGUUUGCCCAGCGGCUUGAAAUCUAUCGAAUGGCGACUUUUUCCGGAAAGCUUGCUACAAGCCUAAAGGCGUGACAAUGGGUUAUUCCCUUCAUAGCCGACACGGGUUGCACGUCUUUUUGGUCGAGGUUUAGCUGUCUCAAAACCCCAAAACCAGAUCUUUUAGCGGGUUUAAUCGCUAUUUGCUUUAGCAAAUCUCUUUUUUAACCGUUACUAGACCUGAACUCUUGGUCUCAAAUCAGGCAAGAAAACCCGCUGAACUUGAGCAUAUCAAUAAGCGGAGGAAAAGAAACUAACAAGGAUUCCCCUAGUAACGGCGAGUGAAGCGGGAAAAGCUCAAAUUUGAAAUCUCCUGGGUUCCCCAGGCGAAUUGUAGUUUAGAGAAGCGUUUUCUGAGGCAGACUCGGGCCUAAGUCCUUUGGAACGAGGCAUCAUAGAGGGUGAGAAUCCCGUCUGUGGACCGAAGUUUGUCUCUUAUGAUACGUUUUCAAAGAGUCGGGUUGUUUGGGAUUGCAGCCCAAAAUGGGUGGUAAAUACCAUCUAAAGCUAAAUAAUGGCGAGAGACCGAUAGCGAACAAGUACCGUGAGGGAAAGAUGAAAAGAACUUUGAAAAGAGAGUCAAACAGUACGUGAAAUUGUCAAAAGGGAACCGCUUGAAACCAGUAUUGUCUACGGAAAAUCAGCUGUUCGCAUGAGCAGUGCACUUUUCCGGCGACAGGUCAACAUCGGUUCGAUUCGGAGUACAAAGCGUUAGGAAGGUAGCCUUCGGGUGUUAUAGCCUAGCGUCAUGCUCUGGGUUGGACCGAGGACCGCAGUACAGCCUUUGGUUGGGCUAAGGCCGCCUGCCCAAGUUUCUUCUUAGACUGCAUGCAGACUAAGAAGGAAUGCAAGCAGCACGACCGGAUGCACCACAUCUGUACUUAGGAUGUUGACGAAAUGGUUUUAAACGACCCGUCUUGAAACACGGACC
rnacentral:rRNA from 1 species